CUAUAUUCCUACAACCCUCAAUCAGAAGAAUUAUGCGUCAUUUUCAUCGCUUACUUUCUCUCUCUAAACAUUCAAUACUUUUCACUUCAUCUUGGUCUCUACAUGAAAGCUUAGUGAAUCCAACAAAUUCUCGCAUAUAACAGUUUCUCACUCAUGAGCAGCAUCCUAGUGGACUUGCCGGAGCUGUUCCACCUUUGUUUGGUGGAGCUUUGCAUAUUGAUGCUAUUUUCCCAACUAGUGAUGAGAUUCAAGAUGAUGAUCCUUCCGUGGCUCGCAUUUGUUACUUGAGUAGCAAAUUUUGGUUGGGGUGAAUUCCUGUCAUAAGAAGGAAGGAUCUCUUGAUAGUAGCAAAUCUUGGAAGUCAAACCAACUAGAAACUGAAGCAGCUUUUUCCACCAGAUUGGAUGUGAAGCAAGACGAGCGUAUAUUGGAUAUAGCUUCACCUUCAAUUUGCUUUCUUGAUUUAUAUACCCUUAAGACAGGUUUUUGUGGUCUUUGGAGUGCUCGUGUACAUGCUAUAGAUUACUAUGCCAAGGAAAAAGAAGACUUUGUUCAGGGAAGAGGCUAGUCCUAGAUGAUAUCUCUGCAACAUGAUUGAUAUCAUAUGAUUUUUAUCUGAUUCUUAGAGUUAAUGUACUAUGUAAAAAAAGAUGGCCAAGAGUAGUAUAGCUUUUUUGUUAAUUUAUUAUAUUUAAUAAAAAUAUAAAUUAUUGUCUAUUCUAAUUAGUUGUUUCAGUUAUUAUUUUUUAUUUAUCAAUAUGAUUAAAAAUAAUAAUAUUAAAUAUAUUAUUUGUAUAUUGGAAAAAUAUUAUUUGUAUCGUUUGAAACAAAAGAUACUAUCUUUGGUUCAAACAAACGAUACUAUCUUUGGUUCAAACAAAGGAUACAAAUAAUAGUUUAUUUGUAUUGUUUGUUUGAAACCAAAGAUACAAAUAACCUGCUAUUUGUAUCUUCUGUUUUAAACCAAAGAUACAAGUAACUGUUAUUUGUAUCUUGGGUUUUGAAACAACACAAAUAAUGCGUUAUUUUUAAAUCUCUUAUUGGUAACUCCCAAUAUAAAAUACAAAUAAGAAUAAACUAUCAAUAAUAAUUAAGGAGAAGUAUUAGAAGAUACCCACAAAGAAUGAGAACGAUUGGAGAACAAAGUUGUAAAAUCUAGAAAAUAAUAAAGCUUAAAUCCUCAACAAUGGAGGUUGAUGAAGAAGAAAAACUCCAAACUUGCAAUAAACUAGUGGAUGAAUGAACAAUAACUACAAU